CAGCAGCCACGGUAAUACAGAGGGUGCGAGCGUUAAUCGGAUUUACUGGGCGUAAAGCGUGCGUAGGCGGCUUCUUAAGUCGGAUGUGAAAUCCCUGAGCUUAACUUAGGAAUUGCAUUCGAUACUGGGAAGCUAGAGUAUAAGAGAGGAUGGUAGAAUUCCAGGUGUAGCGGUGAAAUGCGUAGAGAUCUGGAGGAAUACCGAUGGCGAAGGCAGCCAUCUGGCCUAAUACUGACGCUGAGGUACGAAAGCAUGGGGAGCAAACAGGAUUAGAUACCCGAGUAGUCCCUGUCUCUUAUAC
rnacentral:rRNA from 1 species